rnacentral:rRNA from 1 species
UUAUCGGAAUGAGAACAAUUCAAAUCCUUUAACGAGGAUCUAGCGGAGGGCAAGUCUGGUGCCAGCAGCCGCGGUAAUUCCAGCUCCGCAGGUGUAUAUCUAUGCUGCUGCGGUUAAAAAGCUCGUAGUUGGAUCUGCGUGCUCGGAACUGGUUGGCUCACUGAGUUCAAACUGGUCUCCGGCGCUUUAUUGGCUGGUUUUCCCUUGAUGCUCUUAACCGGGUGUCUUGGGUGGCUAGCACGUUUACUUUGAAAAAAUUAGAGUGCUCAAUACAGGCGUAAAGCCUUGAAUAGUGGUGCAUGGAAUAAUAGAAUAGGACCUCGGCUCUAUUUUGUUGGUUUUCGGAACGCGAGGUAAUGAUUAAGAGGGACAGACGGGGGCAUUCGUAUUGCGACGUUAGAGGUGAAAUUCUUGGAUCGUCGCAAGACGGACGACUGCGAAAGCAUUUGCCAAGAAUGUUUUCAUUAAUCAAGAACGAAAGUUAGAGGUUCGAAGGCGAUCAGAUACCGCCCUAGUUCUAACCGUAAACGAUGCCAACUAGCGAUUCGCAGGCGUUAAACAACGACCUUGCGGGCAGCUUCCCGGAAACGAAAGUGUUCGGGUUCCGGGGGAAGUAUGGUUGCAAAGCUGAAACUUAAAGGAAUUGACGGAAGGGCACCACCAGGAGUGGAGCCUGCGGCUUAAUUUGACCCAACACGGGAAAACUCACCCGGCCCGGACACCGUAAGGAUUGACAGAUUGAGAGCUCUUUCUUGAUUCGGUGGGUGGUGGUGCAUGGCCGUUCUUAGUUGGUGGAGCGAUUUGUCUGGUUUAUUCCGAUAACGAACGAGACUCUGGCCUACUAAAUAGUGGGCGGAUUCUUUCUGUCCGCAACACUUCUUAGAGGGACAAGCGGUGUUCAGCCGCACGAGAUUGAGCAAUAACAGGUCUGUGAUGCCCUUAGAUGUCCGGGGCUGCACGCGCGCUACACUGAAGGAAUCAGCGUGCUUUCUGACCUUGCCCGAAAGGGCUGGGUAACCCGAUGAAAAUCCUUCGUGAUUGGGAUAGGGACUUGCAAUUAUUUCCCUUGAACGAGGAAUUCCCAGUAAGUGUGGGUCAUAAGCUCGCGUUGAUUACGUCCCUGCCCUUUGUACACACCGCCCGUCGCUGCCCGGAACUGAGCCGUUUCGAGAAGAACAGGGACCGUCGUUGAAGGGCCUUAACGGGCUUUUCUCUGAUAGAAACUGUU